GAAGAUCAACCAACCCCUUCUUAACCUCUGGACACAGUUGAGACCCAAUCUUGACUUCCUUCACAUCAUCUUCGGAACCCAAGUUGACUAACUCAAUCUGCUCUUCAAAUGGAGAAUACUCUCGGAGAAGAUCAACCAACCCCUUCUUAACCUCUGGACACAGUUGAGACCCAAUCUUGACUUCCUUCACAUCAUCUUCGGAACCCAAGUUGACUAACUCAAUCUGCUCUUCAAAUGGCUAAAUGGAUUUUUUUCUCGUGCUCAAGUAGACGAGACAAUUCAUUAGACACUUCUACAUCACUUUCCUCCUCUGCCUCAAACACGGGGAAUUCAAAGUUUGGAGAAGGAGUAGGAUCAUUGUGUUCAAUGGGUUUAGAAAC
rnacentral:lncRNA from 1 species